UCUUGGGGAUGAGGAGGCUCUAGUGAGGUAGGAGGCUUGUGCUCUCUGAUGCAGUUCAACCUCCUCCAGUAUAGCCAUGAUCUUCCUCAUCCCCGUGGAAUCACAACACGUGUGGCCUGGAGAGCAGCAGCUCUCAGGGCUUCAUCUCCUCCCAGCUGUUAACCCUUUGGGAAUGCUACACACUCUGCUUGGAAUUGCUGUGCUGACCUUUCCUUCAGAGCACCCUCUGGACUUCAGCAGCUGCAGCUCAGUUAUCCUUCUGGCUGGUCACAACUGGGGCUGUUUAAAGAAAUAAAUACACAGUUCAACCAGCUGCAGAGCAAGAUUGCACGGCAAUCUUUCCUGACAAAGGAUAAGGUCAGAACCUCCUUUAACAGAAACACACCCUGGCACAAGGAUUAAAGCUUUCAUAUAUCUCUUUCGCCAUUAAAAUCCCACUUCUCAUGAGAAACCUCCCUCCUCCUUCCAUAAAGCAUCCAGCCCUCUGGAGCCACCCGGUUGUCAGUGGAUGAUGGAUUAAUGUAGCAAAUGCUGCUGAAGCUUUUAGCUCUCCUUCUCUGGGCAUCUACUUCAAACAGCGCCCUUGGCCUGGCACACUGAGAAAACUUCACUCCUAAUCCCGGAGGCUUGGCCAGGGGGAUGCCUGUGAGACCAGAUCACUGUUCUCUACAGAAAUUAGAGGGGUCAAAGAUGUAACCACACUCUAAUUUCUAACAGCUGAGAUCUUUGAUUCAGGGAGCAGAUACAAAAGCAGCACUGUCUAUAACUUACUCUUCCUUCACUAGAAGCUAUGUUACAGAAACUAUAAAAUGAAGGAAAACAGAGCCCUUGCUACUGUAUUCAGAGAUCUUCUACCUCUAGCUACCCUCUUGAAUCUCUCUUUGGACACGUCCCAGCAGUAAUGCAGUCUAGGAGAGGGGGAAAAAUACACUCUGGGCUCUAUUUUUAGUGGCUGCGUGAGCCUGAGUUGUGCUCCACCCCUGCCCCCCAUCCAUUCUCAGCCAAAAAAGGCCCUGGAAAAUCUCCUGAAGUUGUAGUGUAUAGCUUACGCUAUGCA